UGGGGAAUAUUGCGCAAUGGGGGGAACCCUGACGCAGCCAUGCCGCGUGAAUGAAGAAGGCCUUAGGGUUGUAAAGUUCUUUCGGUAUUGAGGAAGGUUGAUGUGUUAAUAGCACAUCAAAUUGACGUUAAAUACAGAAGAAGCACCGGCUAACUCCGUGCCAGCAGCCGCGGUAAUACGGAGGGUGCGAGCGUUAAUCGGAAUAACUGGGCGUAAAGGGCACGCAGGCGGUUAUUUAAGUGAGGUGUGAAAGCCCCGGGCUUAACCUGGGAAUUGCAUUUCAGACUGGGUAACUAGAGUACUUUAGGGAGGGGUAGAAUUCCACGUGUAGCGGUGAAAUGCGUAGAAAUGUAAAAGAAUACCGAAGGCGAAGGCAGCCCCUUGGGAAUGUACUGACGCUCAUGUGCGAAAGCGUGGGGAGCAAACAGGAUUAGAUACCCUGGUAGUCCACGCUGUAAACGCUGUCGAUUUGGGGGUUGGGGUUUAACUCUGGCGCCCGUAGCUAACGUGAUAAAUCGACCGCCUGGGGAGUACGGCCGCAAGGUUA
rnacentral:rRNA from 1 species